CAAAAAACAACCCAGUUCCACAAACUCUAUAAAACCCAACCUCAAGUCUUCUCCACUCGACCGAGACGCGUGGAUCGAAUCAGAAGCAGGAUAUCUAAGCAGCGAUCUCAAAGAUCCACUUUUGAGCACAACACACGGACGACGCUGGUGGCCUUUAGAUAAACAUCCUCAGGAGGGAGAAAGGAAGGAGAUUUUAAGGGAUCGAAUAGGCUGUUAAUGGCGGCGGUUGGCCACCCGGGGGGCAGACAGAGUUCUGAGCCAGACCUGAAGACUGUUUUCUUUUCAAGGACUGCCAACAAGCGCAUGUGCCAGGAGAAGCAGUAUAUAACACACACACAUACACACACACACACACACACACACACA
ensembl:lncRNA